AGCGAACGCUGGCGGCAGGCUUAACACAUGCAAGUCGAGCGGGCAUCCUUGUGGUGUCAGCGGCAGACGGGUGAGUAACGCGUGGGAACGUGCCCUUUGGUUCGGAAUAACUCAGGGAAACUUGUGCUAAUACCGGAUACGUGCGAGAGCAGAAAGGUUUAUCUGCCGAAGGAUCGGCCCGCGUCUGAUUAGCUAGUUGGUGAGGUUACGGCUCACCAAGGCGACGAUCAGUAGCUGGUCUGAGAGGAUGAGCAGCCACACUGGGACUGAGACACGGCCCAGACUCCUACGGGAGGCAGCAGUGGGGAAUAUUGGACAAUGGGGGCAACCCUGAUCCAGCCAUGCCGCGUGAGUGAUGACGGCCUUAGGGUUGUAAAGCUCUUUUCGCCGGGACGAUAAUGACGGUACCGGAGGAAUAAGCCCCGGCUAACUUCGUG
rnacentral:rRNA from 1 species